AAGACCUUGUGCUUUUGGAGCGGCCGAUGCCUGAUUAGCUAGUUGGUGGGGUAAAGGCCUACCAAGGCGACGAUCAGUAGUUGGUCUGAGAGGACGACCAGCCACACUGGGACUGAGACACGGCCCAGACUCCUACGGGAGGCAGCAGUGGGGAAUUUUGGACAAUGGGCGAAAGCCUGAUCCAGCAAUGCCGCGUGAGUGAAGAAGGCCUUCGGGUUGUAAAGCUCUUUCAGUCGAGAAGAAAAAGCUGCAGUGAAUAACUGUAGUUCAUGACGGUAUCGACAGAAGAAGCACCGGCUAACUACGUGCCAGCAGCCGCGGUAAUACGUAGGGUGCGAGCGUUAAUCGGAAUUACUGGGCGUAAAGGGUGCGCAGGCGGCUUUGUAAGUCAGAUGUGAAAUCCCCGGGCUUAACCUGGGAAUU
rnacentral:rRNA from 1 species